UAGGGAAUCUUCGGCAAUGGGGGGAACCCUGACCGAGCAACGCCGCGUGAGUGAAGAAGGUUUUCGGAUCGUAAAGCUCUGUUGUUAAGGAAGAACGAGUGUGAGAAUGGAAAGUUCAUGCUGUGACGGUACUUAACCAGAAAGGGACGGCUAACUACGUGCCAGCAGCCGCGGUAAUACGUAGGUCCCGAGCGUUGUCCGGAUUUAUUGGGCGUAAAGCGAGCGCAGGCGGUUAGAAAAGUCUGAAGUGAAAGGCAGUGGCUCAACCAUUGUAGGCUUUGGAAACUGUUUAGCUUGAGUGCAGAAGGGGAGAGUGGAAUUCCAUGUGUAGCGGUGAAAUGCGUAGAUAUAUGGAGGAACACCGGUGGCGAAAGCGGCUCGCUGGUCUGUAACUGACGCUGAGGCUCGAAAGCGUGGGGAGCGAACAGG
rnacentral:rRNA from 1 species